CGGUUGAUCCUGCCGGACCCUACUGCUAUCGGGGUGGGACUAAAACAUGCAAGUCGAGCGUCUCCCAAGCCAUUUGUGGAGGCGCGGCGUACGGCUCAGUAACACGUGGCCAACCUGCCCUUGGGACGGGAAUACCCCCGGGAAACCACGCACAGACCUUGACCACAUAAACACAAAUUCUCAAAAAAUCCAAAAACCCCAUAACACAAACAAACACUUCACUACACCGCCUUGCCGAUUUCUAAGCUGGCAAAGGUUAUCUCAAACUAACCAAAACCUACACGCAACUUUCUAAGAAUAGAAACUUAAGGCUCUGGCGUAGCCCAAAACUGGGGUUAAUUCCCGAUAGGCGAAGAGGCCUGGAAUGGCUCUUCGCCGAAAAGGCGUUAGAGGCAUGCUCUCUAACGCCGCCCAAGGAUGGGGCCGCGUCCGAUCAGGUUGUUGGUGAGGUAACGGCUCACCAAGCCUAUAACCGGUACGGGCCGUGAGAGCGGGAGCCCGGAGAUGGGCACUGAGAUAAGGGCCCAGGCCCUACGGGGCGCAGCAGUUGCGAAAACUCGCCAACGCACGAAAGUGUGAGCGGGCUACCCCGAGUGCCGUCCGCUGAGGAUGGCUUUUCUCCGCUGUAAGGAGGCGGAGGAAUAAGGAGAGGGCAAGACUGGUGUCAGCCGCCGCGGUAAUACCAGCUCUCCGAGUGGUAGGGGUGAUUAUUGGGCUUAAAGCGUCCGUAGCCGGCCUAGCAGGUCUUCCGUUAAAUCCAGCGACCUUAUCGUUGGACUGCGGGAGAUACUGCUAGGCUAGGGGGCGGGAGAGGCCGACGGUAUUCCCGGGGUAGGGGUGAAAUCCUGUAAUCCCGGGAAGACCACCAGUGGCGAAGGCCGUCGGCUAGCACGCGCCCGACGGUGAGGGACGAAAGCUGGGGGAGCGAACCGGAUUAGAUACCCGGGUAGUCCCAGCUGUAAACGAUGCGGGCUAGGUGUCGGGGUGGCUACAGGCCACUCCGGUGCCGCAGGGAAACCCCUAAGCCCGCCGCCUGGGAAGUACGGCCGCAAGGCUGAAACUUAAAGGAAUUGGCGGGGGAGCAC
rnacentral:rRNA from 1 species